AUCGAAGUAGCCUUGAAAGUGAGAAAUAACAGAAGAGCGAGUUGUGAAGUAUGUAUCUUGCCGCAAAGACUUGUGCAUCUGGUCUCCACAGAUGUUUUCUUUUCUUCCAGGCUCCAGCAGUAGUUCCUUGACUUAGAGAUUCUAUCAUAGAAUGGAAAUCGGAAGUUAUUAGAGACAAUAGAUCUUUCCUUUCUCUCUGAGGUCGAAAGUCUUUGAGGAGCCUAAGCACCUGUGAAGGGCCACACCUUUGAAGGACAGAAUGAGAAGAAAAAUGAAAAGGUGGCUCGGUGAUUCUCAUACCUUCAUUCCUAACAGAAGCUGCCAUUCUUUUGGACAUAGCCUGGGUCUAAGUCUCUGCACGACUCUCUCACCAGCCAAGGUUAAAUAAAACAGAAUGAGUUUCUGGUGUUUGGAACCCAAGUGGCCUAACUGCUACAGUUGCUGGAACAGAAG
rnacentral:lncRNA from 1 species